rnacentral:lncRNA from 1 species
GUCUAAACUUUGCAUGACCCUCUGGUGAUGACAGCAAUUCAUCAUACUGAUGGCAACGAGGAAUAUCAACUUCAAUUUGUCUGUCUGUAGGAAUCGGUGUGUCUUUAUCAAUGGCAUCGUAUUUUGCUUGAAUGGCACCCUCAACACCCAACAGAGCAGCCCAGGUUAUGCCUCUCAGGAGAGGAGGGAUGUCAACUCUGGCUUCUUUCCAGAUCUGGUUUUUCUUAUAUGGGUAGGCCUUCAACAGCCUGUCAAACAGAACAAUUCUGUUUAGCUGAUACUCUGUGUCCCUCUCCCGGAUGAUCAGAGGUAGAUUGGCAGCUGCAGACAGCUCACUACUGCUAUUUGAAUGAGGUAAAGUUGACUGGUCAUCUUCAAGUAAUGGAUAAAACGCUUCCCCACCAACAUCUUUCAGUCUAUUUCGGAGCUGGCACAGAGACAAAGUCACAGUUGUGUCAUCUAGAAGGGAACUUCUAUCUCGUCCUUGCCCAAAGCUUUCACCAUCUUCUAACACAAAGUUGGGAAGCGUACAGACAGGUGGUUUUGAUCGAAUAAUUUCCUUGUUGACAAGUUCUUUCUCUAAGUCUCCUCCAGCCAGACACCAGAGAUAAUAAACCUCUUCAAUUGAUCUUUCUGCUAGGUAAUCGUUAUCUUCAUCUUUGCAUAACUGACUUAUGUCUUCAGGCAGUGUUAAGUCAGCACACCUCGGAGAGGAUGAGAACAGUCCAGCAGGUUUGUGAAAGGGAGGGUAUGCCAAAGAUACUUCACUGAACAAAUGGUCAUGCAUCAAUUCCUCUGGAGUUGGCCUCUUAGAAGGUUGGAAUGUAAGGCAUUUUUUCAGCAGAGUUAUGACAUUUUCAGAAAGAUCCUUAAUAAUAUCAAGGCAACCGUGUUCUUCAGCUAAUACAGUUACAAUAUCAUCUACAUAGCCUAGUGUAAUUACAAAUUUUAAUCUUUCUGCAAUCUCCAAAGUCUG